UCUCCGUUGGUGAACCAGCGGAGGGAUCAUUACCGAGUUUACAACUCCCAACCCUUGCGAACCGUACCCAUUCUGUUCUCGUUGCUUCCGGCGGGCCCUACGAACCUUUAUAUCUCAACCACCAGAAACCGUCUGAGAAAACAAACAAAAUAAUCAAAACUUUCAACAACGGAUCUCUUGGCUCUG
rnacentral:misc_RNA from 1 species